UACGUAGGGGGCAAGCGUUGUCCGGAUUCAUUGGGCGUAAAGCGCGCGUAGGCGGCCCGUAAGUCAGUUGUGAAUCUCUGGGCUUAAACCCAGAAAGGUCAACUGAUACUGCGGGGCUAGAGUGCAGAAGGGGCAACUGGAAUUCUCGGUGUAGCGGUGAAAUGCGUAGAUAUCGAGAGGAACACCUGCGGCGAAGGCGGGUGCUGGGCUGA
rnacentral:rRNA from 1 species